rnacentral:rRNA from 1 species
CAGAGUCACUGCUAUCRGCUGUGUCGACUAAGCCAUGCGAGUCAAAUGUUCUUCGUGAACAUGGCGUACUGCUCAGUAACACGUGGACAACSUGCCCUAAGGUCUGGCAUAACUCCGGGAAACUGGGGAUAAUUCCAGAUAAACCAUGGAUACUGGAAUGUACUGUGGUUAAAAGCUCCGGUGCCUUAGGAUGGAUCUGCGGCCUAUCAGGUAGUAGUGGGUGUAAUGUACCUACUAGCCUACGACGGGUACGGGUUGUGAGAGCAAGAGCCCGGAGAUGGAUUCUGAGACAUGAAUCCAGGCCCUACGGGGCGCAGCAGGCGCGAAAACUUUACAAUGCGGGAAACCGCGAUAAGGGGACACUGAGUGCCAGCACCAUGUGCUGGCUGUCCGCAUGUAUAAAUCACAUGUGUCAGCAAGGGCCGGGCAAGACCGGUGCCAGCCGCCGCGGUAACACCGGCGGCCCGAGUGGUGGCCAUUAUUAUUGGGUCUAAAGGGUCCGUAGCCGGUUUGAUCAGUCUUCCGGGAAAUCUGACAGCUCAACUGUUAGGCUUCUGGGGGAUACUGUCAGACUUGGAACCGGGAGAGGUAAGAGGUACUACAGGGGUAGGAGUGAAAUCUUGUAAUCCUUGUGGGACCACCAGUGGCGAAGGCGUCUUACCAGAACGGGUUCGACGGUGAGGGACGAAAGCUGGGGGCACGAACCGGAUUAGAUACCCGGGUAGUCCCAGCCGUAAACGAUGCUCGCUAGGUGUCUGGGAUGGUGCGACCGUUUCAGGUGCCGCAGGRAAGCCGUGAAGCGAGCCACCUGGGAAGUACGGCCGCAAGGCUGAAACUUAAAGGAAUUGGCGGGRGGAGCACKAMMWCGGSYSSAGCCUGCGGUUUAUUG